rnacentral:rRNA from 1 species
GACGAACGCUGGCGGCGCGCUUAACACAUGCAAGUCGAACGGAAAGGCCUGCUUUCCCUUGUGGAUUUCGUAUACUCGAGUGGCGAACGGGUGAGUAACACGUGAGUGUUCUGCCCCGAACUUGGGUAUAAGCAUGGGAAACUGGGUCUAAUUCUCGAUAGGACUGCAGGGUGGUGCCUGUGGUGGCAAACGAUCUUCUAGUGGUUGAGGAUGAGCUCGUGGCCUAUCAGCUUGUUGGUGUGGUAGUGGCCUACAAAGACGGAGACGGGUAGCCGGCCUGAGAUCGGGGACGGCCACAUUGGGACUGGGACACGACCCAGACUCGUACGAGAGGUAGCAGUGGGGAAGAUAGCACAAAGGGCGGAAGGCAGAAGCAGCGAGGCAGUGUGGGGGAUGACGGCCUUCGGGUUGUAAGCUCCUUGCGACCGAGAGAAAGCUAACUGGUUGGAAGGGUGGUGACGGUAGUUGAACAGGAAGCCCCGGCUAACUACGUG